rnacentral:rRNA from 1 species
CCUACGGGAGGCUGCAGUGAGGAAUAUUGGUCAAUGGACGAGAGUCUGAACCAGCCAAGUAGCGUGAAGGAUGACUGCCCUAUGGGUUGUAAACUUCUUUUAUAAAGGAAUAAAACGAGGCACGUGUGCCUUUUUGCAUGUACUUUAUGAAUAAGGAUCGGCUAACUCCUUGCCAGCAGCCGUGGUAAUACGGAGGAUCCGAGCGUUAUCCGGAUUUAUUGUGUUUAAGGGGAGCGUAGAUGGGUUGUUAAGUCAGUUGUGAAAGUUUGCGGCUAAACCGUAAAAUUGCAAUUGAUACUGGCAGUCGUGAGUACAGUUGAGGUAGGCGGAAUUCGUGGUGUAGCGGUGAAAUGCUUAGAUAUCACGCAGAACCCCGAUUGCGAAGGCAGCUUACUAAACUGUGACUGACAUUGAUGCUCGAAAGUGUGGGUAUCAAACAGGAUUAGAUACCCCAGUAGUC